UGGUGCUCUCCCUCCUAGAGGUUCGACAGGCGUCAGCCACGGUGGCAGGCCAGUUGAUUUCUAGCUGCCUACUGUAUUCAGUACACUAACAUGCUGUAGAGGUGUGUAGCCUAGGAGCAAGAGGCCAUACCACGACUCUCACAUCCUUCAGUGAUAGGGAUCUUAGGUGGCAUUGUUUUUUGAGAUUAUAUGAAUAAGUAGAAUCCUAGUUAUUUAUACUAUUGUAUUGUCUUAUAUGACUACACCAUGAUUAUCUGUUCUGUUGAUUUUCCCACAUCCUGUUCAGUUUCUGUUUUCCCAGUAUGUUUUUGCCACCAGAGUUAAAAUAUCUAGACAUUUUACCACUAAAACUUGGAAACGGACGUGUAUACUCUUUGCUGAGAGUGCCCUUGCUGGUGCCACAGCCAGGCUUUAUGUUCCGUGUGUCUGGACUGUGGGGAUGGGGCCCGAGGUGGGGGAGGUGCUCCUCAGAGCUCAUGCCUUUGGCCCCACUGGCAUCCUGGCUCCAGGGCAAGGCCCAUGUACAAGACCCAGGUCUCCUAGGAUGGUUUUUGUUACCCCAGGGAGGAUGUCCCAUUCAUCACAGGAUGAAUAGAAACUGACUUUAGGCAGCAAAUUGUUUAAUAUGUCCUUCAUCAGUGAUUCCUGGACUUGAUCGUGAGUUUUGAAAAACUAAAUGGUCAGUGCUCAGUGAGCCAGAGUAAUGAGGGAGAAGGCCUGAGGGGAGAAGCAUGAGGACACAGGACCUGGGAAGGAGGCCAUGGGUAACUGAGUCAAAGCAGGGUCUGUGGAUGGAAUGUUCUUGAAGAAGAUGAAGUUUUCUGAGGCAGGUAAGUUGACUGACUGAGCUGAUGGGCCCAUUCACUUGACCGGAGUAGGUGUUUGCCCAGGCCGAUGGGUACUCGCUUCUCCUUAGUUGUCUCCUCCCUUUCAGUCUGGCUGGAUAUCCUGCUGAGCAUCUCCGUGUGUUUGCUCACAUCAAUCAAGACACAAUUAUUUGCAUCAACUUGUUGCUACCUGUGAAAUUUGACUAGCUAACUGGUAAAAGGGAGAGCUAUUCCCACUUUGCAACAAACACACCAGGGAAUGGUGGAUAGUUAUGCAGUUUCAGCCCACUCACGGCAAGUGCAGAAAUGUUCUCAACUGAUUUAUAGUUCUAUUAACUUUUUAUCCUAAAUAUCCUUCCCCCUUUCCCCGGGUUUAACCCUUGACAUUGAUUGCUCUUUCCCUGCAAUAUCAAGUAUUACCUGUAGGACAGGGACUUACAUCCAUUGCAGACAUCCCAUCUUUAUGAUCAGCGUAUGGGCUAUCACAUUAAAAAACAAAACCACUUUUUCUCCCUCUGGUUUGUAAGCAAAGGGAGAAAGAGAAUACCAAAAGCUACAAUCCCAGCAGGAAAUCUGCUGUUGGGCUGCCGUAGAACAAAUGGAAUUCCUUUUAAUUACAUAGACUGUUGCAAAGUUGCACAGUACCCAAGGCUGGGAGAGCAGCCAAUCCUGGCCCUUUAUCAAGCGCAGACUCAGCUAAUGGAGACGGUGCAUCAGGACACUUACUUACAUUGAAGCUCAGAGUGGAAGCUUGGGCUCUGCACCUACAAGCUGCUGGGCUGUGCCUAUGUGUCGCCUUGCUUCUGCGAGCAGCUCGGGAUGGAGUUAGACCCAAGCAUGACAGGAAAGUACGACCAGGAUGCUUUCUGUGCUCCGCUGCCCUAGCCUCAAACUGACAUUGGAUAGACGUCUGGGUCAGGUGCUGAGGGGAGAGAAUGGGGUCAACUUGGGUUCAUCUGAUUAAGCUCAACCCUACUGGAAAGGUUUUUCUCUCCUUGCUUCAGUCUGCAAUGGAAAUAAUAACAUCCUGUUACCAACUUGUGGAGAUGAGUAUCUCAUUGUCACAGUACUGACUUUAAACUUGUGUCAUCUAAAACGUUCUUUCUGCAAUUUGGGUGCUUCUCGGCAUCUCAUUCUUUUAAGAGAAUUGAAACUGAGAAUGAAAGGAAAGUACUGGCUUUCUCCUUUCACCCAGGAAUUUAUCCUUAACAAAGACCCUUAGGCAGGAUACCUGGGUCCUAAUUCCAGCUUGGCUGUUACUUGUGUGAUGCUGGUUGCAUUUAGGUAAGCUAAUCACUUUAGCCAUCCCCAAAUCUCUGUGGUUCACCACCUUAAAGACUUAUCUCAUGUCACUCUCCAGUGUGUGUUGGGGAAAGAGAGCUUUUGCCUCCACAUGGCCAUCCUUCCCUAGGAGUCCCCGCUGGUAUUGUUGUAUUUGGCAGGUGAGGAAAGAGAAAGAACAUGACGGGGCUGGGGGGUUGGGGGACACACACAUUCUGACUGCAGGGGGCUGGGAGACAUGAUUUAGCUGCAGGCUUGGGAGGAAAGGUGAUAUGGUUUGGCUCUGUGUCUGCAAAAUAUCAUCUCAAAUUAUAAGCCCCAUAAUCCCCAUAUGUCAAGGGAGGGACCUUAUGGUAGGUGAUUGGGUUAUGGGCAGUUUCCCCCAUCCUCUUCUCCUGACAGUGGGUGAGUUCUCGUGAGACCUGAUGGUUUUAUAAGCCCCUUCACAUGCUCUUUCUCUCUCUUCUGCUGUCUUGUGAAGGUGCUUGCUUCCCCUUUGCCUUCCACCAUGAUUGUAAGUUUCCUGAGGCCUCCCCAGCCAUGUGGAACUGUGAGUCAAUUAAACCUCCUUUCUUUAUAAAUUACCCAGUCUCAGGUAAAAAAAAAUGGACCAGUACAAAAGGGGAAUUUAGUGUUGAUAAACAGCCUGUGUUCGCCACAGUGGGCAUCUCACUUAGUGUCCCAAACUUCUGUCUCUUCGUGAAUGAUAAAUUUGAUUGGGUCAGUAUUUUUCAGUUUUGAGCUACUGAUCCAUUUUUACUAUUUCUUCCAUAUCUAGAUGUCACCUUUAAAAUGACUUACUUUAACUUGGGCCGGGCACAGUGGCUCAAGCCUGUAAUCCCAGCACUUUGGGAGGCAGAGGCAGGCGGAUCACGAGGUCAGGAGAUCGAGACCAUCCUGGCUAACACGGUGAAACCCUGUCUCUACUAAAAAUACAAAAAAUUAGCUCGGCAUGGUGGCGGGCGCCUGUAGUCCCAGCUACUCAGGAGGCUGAGGCAGGCGAAUGGCGUGAAACUGGGAGGCGGAGCUUGCAGUGAGCAGAGAUCACGCCACCGCACUCCAGCCUGGGCGACAGAGCGAGACUCCGUCUCAAAAAAAAAAAAAACAAAAAACCCAAAAAAGACUUACUUUAACUUAACAUCUUCUUAGCAGUAAUAUUCCUGAAAUAAUGGAUGUGAUAUGCUAGUUACAUGUUUUCUAACACAU
rnacentral:lncRNA from 1 species